rnacentral:rRNA from 1 species
CAUGUAGGCGGCUCUGUAAGUCCGGCGUGGAAGCCCACGGCUCAACCGUGGGAUUGCGCUGGAAACUGCGGGGCUCGAAUCAUGGAGAGGGAGCUAGAAUUCCAGGUGUAGGGGUGAAAUCUGUAGAGAUCUGGAAGAAUACCAGUGGCGAAGGCGAGCUCCUGGCCAAUGAUUGACGCUGAGGUGCGAAAGUGUGGGGAUCAAACA